UAUUAGAAAGCUAUAGGGACUAGCGUUAGCCUUUUAAGCUAAAGAUUGGCGGCCCCCAACCGCCUCUAAUAA
rnacentral:tRNA from 1 species